rnacentral:rRNA from 1 species
GCAUGCCUACAUCAUAGCGUUAAUGCACCAGAUCCCAUUAGAACUCCGCAAUUAAGUGCGUUAAGGUUAGAGUAGUAUUGGGAUAGGUGACCACUCGAGAAGUCUUAGUGUUUUACAUGCC